rnacentral:lncRNA from 1 species
UUGAAUUGAUCCCUUUACCAUUAUGCAAUGGCCUUCUUUGUCUCUUUUGAUCUUUGUUGGUUUAAAGUCUGUUUUAUCAGAGACUAGGAUUGCAAUCCCUGCCUUUUUUUGUUUUCCAUUUGCUUGGUAGAUCUUCCUCCAUCCCUUUAUUUUGAGCCUAUGUGUGUCUGCGCACGUGAGAUGGGUUUCCUGAAUAUAGCACACUGAUGAGUCUUGACUUUUUAUCCAAUUUGCCAGUCUGUGUCUUUUAAUUGGAGCAUUUAGCCCAUUUACAUUUAAGGUUAAUAUUGUUAUGUGUGAAUUUGAUCCUGUCAUUAUGAUGUUAGCUGGUUAUUUUGCUCGUUAGUUGAUGCAGUUUCUUCCCAGUCUCGAUGGUCUUUACAAUUUGGCAUGUUUUUGCAGUGGCUGGUACCGGUUGUUCCUUUCCAUGUUUAGUGCUUCCUUCAGGAGCUCUUGUAGAGCAGGCCUGGUGGUGAGAAAAUCUCUCAGCAUUUGCUUGUCUGUAAAGGAUUUUAUUUCUCCUUCACUUCUGAAGCUUAGUUUGGCUGGACGUGAAAUUCUGGGUUGAAAAUUAUUUUCUUUAAGAAUGUUGAAUAUUGGCCCCCACUCUCUUCUGGCUUGUAGAAUUUCUGCCGAGAGAUCAGCUGUUAGUCUGAUGGGCUUCCCUUUGUGGGUAACCUGACCUUUCUCUCUGGCUGCCCUUAACAUUUUCUCCUUCAUUUCACCUUCGGUGAAUCUGAGAAUUAUGUGUGUUGGAGUUGCUCUUCUUGAGGAUUAUCUUUGUGGCAUUCUCUGUAUUUCCUGAAUCUGAAUGUUGGCUUGCCUUGCUAGACUGGGGAAGUUCUCCUGGAUAAUAUCCUGCAGAGUGUUUUCCAACUUGGUUCCAUUCUCCCCGUCACUUUCAGGUACACCAAUGAGACGUAGAUUUGGUCUUUUCACAUAGUCCCAUAUUUCUUGGAGGCUUUGUUUGUUUCUUUUUAUUCUUUUUUCUCUAAACUUCUCUUCUCUCUUCAUUUCAUUCAUUUGAUCUUCCAUCACUGAUACCCUUUCUUGCAGUUGAUCGAAUCAGCUACUGAGGCUUGUGCGUUCGUCACGUAGUUCUCGUGCCUUGGUUUUCAGCUCCAUCAGGUCCUUUAAGGACUUCUCUGCAUUGGUUAUUCUAGUUAGCCAUUCGUCUAAUCUUUUUUCAAGGUUUUUAACUUCUUUGCUAUGGGUUUGAACUUCCUCCUUUAGCUCGGAGUAGUUUGAUCGUCUGAAGCCUUCUCUCAACUUGUCAAAGUCAUUCUCCAUCCAGCUUUGUUCCGUUGCUGGUGAGGAGCUGCGUUCCUUUGGAGGAGGAGAGGAGCUCUGAUUUUUAGAUUUUUCAGUUUUUCUGCUCUGUUUUUUCCCCAUCUUUGUGGUUUUAUCUACUUUUGGUCUUUGAUGAUGGUGACAUACAGAUGGGGUUUUGGUGUGGAUGUCCUUUCUGUUUGUUAGUUUUCCUUCUAACAGUCAGGACUCUCAGCUGCAGGUCUGUUGGAGUUUGCCAGAGGUCCACUCCAGACCCUGUUUGCCUGGGUAUCAGCAGCGGAGGCUGCAGAACAGCGGAUAUUGGUGAACAGCAAAUCUUGCUGCCUGAUCGUUCCUCUGAAAGUUUUGUCUCAGAGGAGUACCCGGCCGUGUGAGGUGUCAGUCUGCCCCUACUGGGGGGUGCCUCCCAGUUAGGCUACUCGGGGGUCAGGGACCCACUUGAGGAGGCAGUCUCUCCGUUCUCAGAUCUCCAGCUGCGUGUGGGGAGAACCACUACUCUCUUCAAAGCUGUCAGACAGGGACAUUUAAGUCUGCAGAGGUUUCUGCUGCCUUUUGUUUGGCUAUGCCCUGCCUCCAGAGGUGGAGUCUACAGAGGCAGGCAGGUCUCCUUGAGCUGCAGUGGGCUCCACCCAGUUUGAGCUUCCCAGCUGCUUUGUUUACCUCCUCAAGCCUCAGCAAUGGCGGGCGCCCCUCCCCCAGCCUCUGUGCCGCCUUGCAGUUCAAUCUCAGAUUGCUGUGCUAGCAAUGAGUGAGGCUCCAUUGGCGUAGGACCCUCCAAGCCAUGUGCAGGAUAUAAUCUCCUGGUGUGCCGUUUGCUAAGACUGUCGGAAAAGCGCAGUAUUAGGGUGGGGGUGACCCGAUUUUCCAGGUGCCGUCCGUCACCCCUAGGAAAGGGAAUUCCCCUACCCCUUGCACUUCCUGGGUGAGGCAAUGCCUCGCCCUGCUUCGGCUCAGGCUCGGUGCACUGCACCCAGUGUCCCGCACCCACUGUCCUGCACCCACUGUCCGACAGUCCCCAGUGAGAUGCACCCAGUACCUCAGUUGGAAAUGCAGAAAUCAUUCGUCUUCUGCAUUGCUCAUGCUGGGAGCUGCAGACUGGAGCUGUUCGUAUUCGGCCAUCUUGGCUCCACCUCAGUCACUUUUCUUUUGUUGCUUUCAAAAUUCUCUUUGCAAUUUUGACAAUAUGUGAUUAUAGUAUGACUCUAUAUAGGUUUUGCUGAGAUUAUUUUUAUUGGAGUUUGUUGAGCUUCUUGAAUUUGUAUGGCAAUUUCUUUCCUCAAAUUUGGGAAAUUUGGGGUCUGAUAUGGGUUGGCUGUGUCUCACCCAAAUCUCAUCUUGAAUUGUAACUCUCACAAUUCCCAUGUGUUGUGGGAGGAACCUGGUGGAGGUGAUUGAAUUAUAAGGGUGGGUCUUUCCUGUGAUGUUCUCAUGAUGGUGAGUGAGUCUCAUGAGAUCUGAUGGUUUUUAAAAAAACGGGAGUUUUCCUGCACAAGCUCUCUUCUCUUGUCUGCUACAAUGUGAGAUGCGCCUUUCACCUUUCGCCAUGAUUGUGAGGUCUCCCCAGCCACAUGGAACUGUAAGUCCAAUAUAUCUCUUUCUUUUGUAAACUGCCCAGCCUCAGGUAUGUCUUUAUCAGCAGCAUGAAAACAGACUAAUACAGGGUCAUUAUUUCUUCAAGUAGGAUCUCAAUGCUGUCUCUCUUCUAUGUUUGGGAUAUCCGUAGUCCAUAUGUUGUUUCAUUCGAUGUUGUCCCAUAAGCUCCUUAAGUUCCCUUCAUUUUUCUUCAUUUUUUUCCCUCUGACUCAAUAAUUUCAAAUGAACUGUUUUCAAAGUUACUGACUCUUUCUUCUCUUUGAUCAAGUAUGAACCCUCCAGUCAAUUUUUCCAUUCAGUUAUUAUAUUCUUCAGCUCCAGAAUUUUCAUUUGGUUCUUUUCUAUAGUUUCUGUCUCUUUGUUGAUACCCUCAUUUUGUACAUGCAUUGUUUUCCUGAUUUUGUUUUGUGGUGUAUGUUCUCUUUUAGCUCAUUGAGCAUCUUUAGGAUGAUUAUUUUGGAUUAUUUGUCAGGUAAUUAAGAGAUCUCCAUAUCUUUAGGGUCAGUUUCUAGAGAUUUAUUGUAUUUAUUUGGGCCAUGUUUCUCCGCUUCUUUGUAUGCUUGCAAUCUUUUUUUAAGCGUUGGGCAUUUCAGGCUGGCUUUAUACAGGGUAAGACCUUCACCAGUCAACCCGCUAGAGAUUCUAGGGCUUUUUCUAACUUCUUUUUGGCAAUAAGUCUUUUCUGGGCUGUGGAUAUAAUUCCUCAAAGGUUUGCUUGCCUCUUUUCUGCAGCCCAUAAUCUCUUGCUCCCCUUGGUGUCUGUCUGUGGUACUACAGUCUUAUUGUUGCCAUAACAAGCUGUGGCACUCACCUUUGAUCUCAGUGACCCCAGCCUGGCAUUUAAACCGCUGUUUCCAUCAGCACUCCAAGUCAGGAGAGAUAGAAAUCUGCUCCUUGGGCGAACUGUCAAAAGGCCUGCGCAUUGGACUCAUGGUUGGUUCCCUUCUCUUUUUCUCUCUUGAGGGAGAAGAGGAUUGGAAAUUUUCUUCCAAUUAUACCACAGUGUGCUAGGGAUAAUAGGUAGGGUGACAAAUAAUCUCUCCUUGGCCACACUUUAGUCAGAUUCCUCUGAACCCUCUACUUAACCAGGACUUGACCUUUGAGCUCCUGUAUUCAUCUUUGCAUCACAAAACUAUUUCUUGCAGUUUUAGCAAGAAUCCUCCACUCUUGACAUCUAAUCAAAUUCAUCAUCCUCCACCAUCCUCCAGAUGACAUUCGAUCAUCCUGGUCUGCCUUCAGCAAGAAUCCUGUCAAAUCAGUUUUACCAGAAUGUCACCCUUCCCUUGACGUUGCCUCUUAGUAAUUUUCCAUCCAAUGCCCGCCUCUACCCCCACCCCACCACCACCCUGCACUCUGCUCUUUGACUGUAAAUCCCCACUUGUCUUGCUGUAACUAUGACAAUUGUCCUUGCUGUUCUCUACCAGUGGCAAGUAAAAUGCCACACCGUUUCCUACCUGUUUCAUUGCAUCUCUUGGCUUUGUGCACCUUUGGGUGCUGCAAACUCUCAACUGGUUUUUGGAGUUCUCAGGCAAUUUUGUCCAUAUGAUGUUGUUAAGUUGAUGUCUCUAUGGGAGAAUGAGGGUCUGGGGUUUCCUAUUCUCCAUCUUGCUUAUAUCACUCAGCACACUGUUACUUCAUAAGUACAUCAAAACUGGACUUUUUUGUUUUGUUUUUUUGGAGAUGGAGUCUCACUCUGUUGCCCAGGCUGGAGUGGAGUGAUGCGAUCUCGGCUCACGGCAACCUCCACCUCUUGGGUUCAAGCAAUUCUCCUGCCUCAGCCUCCCAAGUAGCUGGUAUUACAGGCGCACGCCAUCAUGCCUGGGUAAUUUUUGUAUUUUUAGUAGAAACGGGGUUUCACCAUGUUAGCCAGGCCGAUCUCAAACUCCUGACCUCAGGUGAUCCACCUACCUGGGGCCUUCCAAAGUGCUGGGAUUACAGGCGUGAGCCACCACGCCCGGCCCAAAACUGGACUUUUUUGAUCUUCCUCUCCAAAACCUGCUUUACCACGGUGUUCCUUAAACAACAGAAAGACAACACCUGCUGCCAUACAGUACUUAAACUAGAAACUUAGGAAUCAUCCUUACCUCUGCCCUCUCCUGCCAUGUCAAAUUAUUAACCAAGUAUUCUUGAUUUUGCUUCAUAAAUAGUUAUCAAAUCUGCCCCCAUCUCUUUACUGCCACACAAAGCCAUCCCUUUUCAUUUGGAUGAUUAUUAACAGUCUCUUUAGGCCGGGCGCGGUGGCUCACAACUGUAAUCCCAGCACUUUGGGAAGCUGAGGCGGGCGGAUUACAAGGUCAGGAGAUCGAGACCAUCCUGGCUAACACAGUAAAACCCCGUCUCUACUAAAAAUACAAAAAAUUAGCUGGGCAUGGUGGCGGGCGCCUGUAGUCCCAGCUACUUGGGAGGCUGAGGCAGGAGAAUGGCAUGAACCCGGGAGGCGGAGCUUGCAGUGAGCUGAGAUCCUGCCACUGCACUGCAGCCUGGGCGACAGAGUGAGACUCCGUCUCAAAAAAAACAAAAACAAAAAAGCAGUCUUUUUUUUUUUUUUUUUUAAACAGGGUCUUACUCUGUCUCCCAGCCUGGAGUGCAGUGGUGUGUGAUCACAGUUCACUGCAACCAUGACCUCCUGGGCUCUAACAAUCCUCCCACCUCAGCCUACCUAGUAGCUGGGACUAUAGGCAUGCAGCAUGGUGCCUGGUUAAUUUUUUUAACUUUUGCUGACAUGAUGUCUCACUAUGUUAUGUUGCCUAGGCUGGUCUCAAACUCCUGACCUCAAGCAAUCUUCCCACUUCGGCCUUUAAAAUCACGCUGGGAUUACAGGCGUGAGCCACCAUGCCUGGUUUAUAACAAUCUCUUAAUUGGCUUUCCUGACUUUAACUCCUUCAAUUUAAUCUCCAUAGUGUAGGUAGAGCAAUUCUAAAAUGCAUAUGUGGCCCUGUCAUUCUGCCACUUAAAACCUUUCAGUGUCUCUCUACUGUCUUAGAAAUAAAUUCUAGCCUCUUUUACAAAGGUUACACAGCUAUUUAUUGUUUACAAUCCCCUGCUCACCCCUCCAGACUCACAAAACAAAUAGUUAUUUGGUCCAAAAUGUCAAUAAUGUGUGUCAGGGUUGAGAAAUCUAGUCCUAGAGGAUGGGCUCCAGAAAAUGAAGGAGUCAGCCAUGAAAGAGGAAGAAACGGAACCCCCACAAUAAGAGAUCCAACAGGAGAAGGAAGCAAAAGAAAUCCCCAGGAUUUAUACAUUAUAAAUUAAGAGCAGUGACCAACACCAAGUUAUUCCUGCUGCUGUUGGACAUCUCCAACUUUGAAGGCUUCCACAUUAGCCUGGUGCUUAUCUUUCCUUCUUUCAUUUUCCUAAUGGUUAGGCUAUUCCUGUGCCCACUGUCAGUGGUGACGGGGCAGCCUGAGAAUCAUAUUCUGGGAUUUCUGUCAGCUUUAGCCUUGGAGCUGGUCCAGAGAGGAACAAACUUCAGAUGCUCUGAAAGUCUUAAUAUGGGCCAGGCAUGGUGGCUCACACCUGUAAUCUCAGCACUUUGGGAGUCCAAGGCAGGCACACUGCUUGAGCCCAGGCGUUUGAGACCAGCCUGGGCAAGAUGGUGAGACCCCAUCCCUACAGAAAAAUACAAAAAAUCAGCUGGGAUAGUGGCACAUGCCGGUAGUCCCAGCUACUCAGGAGGCUGAGGUGGGAGGAUCACCUGAGCUUGGGAGGUUGAGGCUUUAGUGAGCCAUGAUAAUGCUAUUGCACUCCAGCCUGGGUGACAGAUUGAGACUCGGUCUCAAAAAAAAAAAAAAGAAAAAGGAAUAGAAAGUCACAAUCUGAAAUCGAUGGGACUGAGAGCCUCUCACAUAGAAAAGUUGAUCCUGCUGAAAAAGUGGAUUAAAAAGGAAUUUAGGGUCUUGCUUGUUGGUUGCUUCUGUCCGUGGAGUCUUGCAUUUCAGUUUCCCUAUUAGGAGGCUGGAUUGGUAAAAGCCUACCCUGAGUGCCAGACUAGUCUGGGAGGAGUCUUACUACCGGGUUGUUGAGGCUCUUGUUUACACCUUGGGGAAACAGGCUUCCUGUAACUCUACCUGACUAUUCUAGCAGACUUAGAAUAGAUGACGGGGGAGUGGACAGCUGGCAGCCAAUAGCACCACUCUGUCUCUGCAACUGUAAAACUAAAUUAACCAGGAAUUUAUCUGAGAGCUGUUGGGGUCUAGAAAAAGAACAUCAGAACAAACCUAAAGAAAUUGACAAAAAGGAAUAAUGAAGAUAAAACAAAAUAAGGAAUUAAAGGAAAAAGUCAAAUAGCAAUAGAUUGCUAGGUAAAACCAAGGGCUUAUUCCAAAAAAUAAACAAACCCUUGGUAAACCUGAGCAAGGAACAAUUAAGAGAACCCAGGCGGGGCACGGUGGCUCACACCUGUAAUCCUAGCACUUUGGGAGGCUGAGGCGGGUAGAUUGCCUGAGCUCAGGAGUUCGAGGCCAGCCUAGGCAACAUGGUGAAACCCCAUCUAUACUAAAAUACAAAAAAUUAGCCGGGCGUGGCAGCAUACACGUGAAGUCUCAGCGACUCAGGAGGCUGAGGCAGGAGAAUUGCUUGAAUCCAGGAGGCAGAGGUUGCAGUGAGCCAAGAUUGUGCCACUGCACUCCAGCCUAGGACAGAGCGAGACUCCGUCUCAAAAAAAAAAAAAAAAAAAAAAAAAGAGAGAAAACCCAAAUACAGAACACCAGAUAUGAAGAAGGGGGAAAAUACAUAUAUGAAUGAAAUUAAAGAAUUAUAAGAGGCCAGACAUGGUGGCUCAUGUCUGUAAUCUCAAUACUUUGGGAGGCUGAGGCAGAAGCAUCACUUGAGGCCAGGAGUUAGAGACCAGCCUGGGCAACAUAGCGUGAUCCUGCCUCUUCAAAUAAAAUAAAUUAGCCAGGCAUGGUGGUGCAUGCCUGUAGUCCCAGCUACUUGGGAGGCUGAAGCAGGAGGAUCACUUGAGCCCAGGAGUUUGAUGCUACAGUAAGCCGUGAUCGUGGCACUGCAAUCAGCAAGACCCUGUCUCAAAACAAACAAACAAAAAAACCCAAGCCGAUUUAUAAGAUAAUUCCAUAUACAACUUUAUGCCCAUACAUUUCAAAAUCUCAGUGAAAUGAACAGAUUUCUGGGAAAAUAAAUAAAUUAUCAAAAUUAGAACAAGAUGUAAAAAGCCUGAAUAACCUCAUAAUCUGUAGGGGAACUGCUCCAUGAUGGCCCUGGUCACCUUGCACUGUCAUCAUAGGACAUACGGGCAAAAGCUUAAACCACAGCUAUCCUGAGUCCUGUGAUACUCCUGGAACACAAAAGGAUGGGGCUUGAGAGGAGCUGCCAUGGGGCUUCUCCCACCUGCCUCCUUUUCCCCACCAAGGAUGCUGCCAGAGAGUUUCUUGUGGCCAUCCAGUUCUGAUGAGGUCUAAGGCUCAGGCUAAAAAUCUCUGCAGCUGCAGUCUAACAUCAGCUCCUCAGCAACGUGGUUAUCUCACAACUCAUUUCACAGUGAUCUAGCUCCUUUUGCUUCCAUGUUCAUUUUGGGGUGUGGGACAAGGACCAUGGGGAACUGACAUAUUUGACUACCCUUCCUUUUGCUGUUUAUGUAAGUAAUAAACCAUCUAAAUCUAAAGAGGGGCCGGGUGUGCUGUCUCACACCUGUAAUCCCAGCACUUUGGAGGCUGAGGUAGGCGGAUCAUUUGAGGUCAGGAGUUGGAGACCAGCCUGGCCAACAUGGUGAAACCCCAUCUCUACUAAAAAUACAAAAAUUCGCUGGUCCUAGUGGCAGGCACCUGUAAUCCCAGCUACUUGGGAGGCUUGAGCUCUGGAGGCGGAGGUUGCAGUGAGCCAAGAUCGCACCACUCUACUCUAACAUGGGCAUCAGAGCAAGACUGUUUCAAAAAAGUUAAAGAAAUUAAAGAAAAAUAAAUCUAAAGAAGGCUUGUUACGUCUUUCCUGGCUGGAUCUGUUAGGUGAUUUGGUCUUGCCUGCCCUGUGCUUGACAUAUUCACAGCAGAUCAACUGUCUUUUCUUGGUUGGCCAGAUUAAGUUAUUUAAAAGAUUGCAAGUGCCCAGUAGCACAGAGAGCAUGGGUAAACACAUACUUCCUUACAUAUUACUGGAAACAAAUACAGUUGGUCCUCCAACUGCAGAUCAUUAUGCGUAUGAUGGUUGCAUCUGUACUGACCCAUGUACACACUUUUUUUCUUGUCAUUAUUCUGUAAACAAUACAGUAUAACAAGUAUUUACAUAGCAUUUACAUUGGAUUAGCUAUUAUAAGUAAUCUAGAGAUGAUUAAAAUAUAUGGGAGGAUGUUCAUAGGUUAUAUGCAAAUAGUACACCGUUUUGUAUCAGGGACUUGAGCAUCUUUGAAGUUUGGUGUCUGCAGGACAUUCUGAAACUAAUUGCCCGUGGACAUCAAGGGAGAUUAUACAAGUGAAACAAAAUUUGGCAAUAGCUAUUGUCUUUGUCUGUUUUCUGUUGCUUAUAACAGAAUACCUGAAAAUGGGUAAUCUAUAAACAAAUAAAAUUUAUUUCUUACAGUUCUAGAGGCUGGAUCCAAGGUUAAGGGAGGGGCAUCUAGUGAGGGCCUUCUUGCUGGUGGGGACUCUCUCCAGAGUCUCAAGGCAGUGCAAGGCAUCACCUGGCAGGAGGCAACACGUGCCAGCUGAGGUUUCUCUUCCCCCCUUACAAAGCCACUAGUCCCACUCCCAUGGUAAGCCAUUAACUCAUUAAUCCAUUAAUCCAGAAUGGAUUAAUCCAUUUAUGAGGGACACGCCCUCAUAAUUCAAUCACCUCUUAAAGGCCCUGCUUCAUGUGAAAUGAGUUUGGGAAAGAAAAAACAUUCAAACAGUAACAUCUAUCGAAAUUUAAAUCACUACUUUCUUUCACUCAUAAAUUCUACUAAUAAGAAUUUCACUUCUAGAAAUUUAUCUUACAGAAAUAUAGACACACACACAUGCACUAUAUAUAUCACAGUUUAUACGUAGCACCAUAUAUUAUAUAUGUAGCAGUUGUAAAACAAUAUGCAAUAGAGCCCAUUUUAAAGAUUAUGUUCACAUGGGGUCAGGCACAGUGGCUCACGCCUGUAAUCUCAGCACUUUGAGAGGCCGAGACAGGUGGGUCACUUGAGGUCAGGAGUUUCAGACCAGCCUGGGCAACAUGGCAAAACCUCAUCUCUACAAAAAUACAAAAAUUAGCCAGGCGUAGUGGCCUGUGCCUGUAGUCCCAGCUACCCAGGAGACUGAGGUGGGAGGAUCACUUGAGCCCAGGAGUUCAAGGUUGUACUGAGCUAUGACCAUACCACUGCACUCCAGCCCGAAUGACCAAAAAAAAAAAAAAAAAGAUUAUGUGUGUGUUGGUGCUUCUAUGUGUAUAGGCUAAAAAUUUGUGAUGUCAUAUUACAAAUUGGUUAUCUUUGAUGAAUGGGAACUUUAUUUCUAAAAUAUAUAUGGUGUAUAUAUGUAUAUAGUAUUUUAGUGUGUAUAUAUAUAUGUAUAUAUAUAUACACACUAAAAUAGUAUAUACUGAAAUGGCAUAUAUAUAUAUUAGAGACAGGGUCUUGCUCUGUUGCCUAGGCUGGAGUGUAGCAGCAGGAUCAUAGCUCAUUGCACCAUGAAACUCCUGGCUUUAAACAUUCCUCCCACCCUGGCCUCUCGAAGUGUUGGAAUUGGUGUGAGCCAUGGUGCCCAACAUUUUUUUUUUAGAGACAGGAUCUGAUAUGGUUAGCCUUUGUGUCCUCACCGAAAAUCUCAUCUUGAAUUGUAUUCCUCAUAAUCCCCACGUGUCAAGGGAAGAGUCAGGUGGAGGUAAUUGAAUCCUGGGGGCAGUUUCCCCCAUGCUGUUCUCAUGAUAGUGAGUGAAUUCUCACGAGAUCUGAUGGUUUUAUAAGGGGCUCUCCCCUGCUUCGCUCGUCUCUUCUUCCUGCUGCCUUGAGAAGGUGCCUGACUUCCUCUUUGCCUUCCACCAUGAUUGUAAGUUUCCUGUUGGGAACAGGCCCCCCGACAUCUGGCCAUAAACUGGCCCUAAAACUGGCCAUAAACAAAAUCUCUGCAGCACUGUGACAUGUUCAUGAUGGUCAUAACGUCCACGCUGGAAGGUUGUGGGUUUACUGGAAUGAGGGCAAGGAACACCUGGCCCACCCAGGGUGGAAAACCGCUUAAAGCCAUUCUUAAACCACAAACAAUACCAUGAGCGAUCUGUGCCUUAAGGACAUGCUCCUGCUGCAGAUAACUAGCCCAACCGAUCCCAUUAUUUCGGCCCAUCCCUUCGUUUCCCAUAAGGGAUACUUUUAGUUAAUCUAAUAUCUAUAGAAACAAUGCUAAUGACUGGCUUACUCUUAAUAAAUAACGUGGGUAAAUCUCUGUUCGGGGGUCUCAGCUCUGAAGGCUGUGAGACCCCUGAUUUCCCACUUCACACCUCUAUAUUUCUGUGUGUGUGUCCUUAAUUCCUCUAGCGCCGCUGGGCUAGGGUCUCCCUGACUGAGCUGGUCUUGGCAAGUGGCAUCCAUCUUGGGGCCACAAAUACAGGUUGAAGGGUUGCCAGAGCGAUGGUUGGAGAACGUGGAACUAGCUGGAGGACACCCGAGUACUCUUAAAGCAAUCCCCGGGGUGAGUAAGAAGGGGAGCUCAGAAGCAUCAGGGUAACAAUGGGACAAGUGUGGGCUGUGGUUCAUUCCACCUUUUGGAACUUUUUCACACUGAUGGGGAGGAGGAAGGAGAGUAUAACAAAGUAACAGAAGAGGUUACAGAGCAGGUUUAUUUGCCAGCUAAAGCUAAAGCAGCAAAGGAGGGAGAGGUUCAUCCCUACCCUUCUGCACUCCCUCCUUAUUAUUUUGAAGAAAAAGACCCUCCAGAUCUUUCUUUUCCAGAGGACACUGGGCAAAAAGUAGUUGCCCCAGUGACUGUUCAAGCAGCGCCUCAAGUGACUGCUCUUAGUUCUAUUCAGGCAGAAAUUCAGCAAGCUAGAUGAGAGGGUGAUAUAGAGGCUUGGCAGUUACCUGUUAGAAUACACCCCCCAGAUCAACAGGGAAAUAUUAUAGCUACAGUUGAGCCUUUUCCUUUUAAAUUCGGGAAAGCACAUUUAGUUGAUUAUAUCAAGGCCUGUGAUAGUAUCAGAGGUAAUCUGCAUAAAGCUACUUUUUUGGCAUAGGCAGUGGCAGGACUGAGAGUGGAUAAAGGAAAUACUCCAUUUCCUGGAGCUUGUUUUAAUUGUGGGAAGCAUGGUCAUACUAAAAAAGAAUGUAGAAAAAAUCAGCGAGUCAGGCCGCCAGAUAGGGGAAAAAAGAAAACUGCUGAGCCUGAAAUAUGUCCAAAAUGUAAAAAAGGAAAACAUUGGGCUAAUCAGUGUUACUCUAAGUUUGAUAAAAAUGGGAACCCAAUUUCAGGAAACGCCAUGAGGGGCCCAUCCUGGGCCCGUUCUAAACCGGGGCAUUUCUAGCUCAGGCCAUUCCCUUACCCCUAUACAAUGUCUGUCCCCCGCCACAGCCGGUAGUGCCACAGUAGAUUUAUGCUGCACAAAAGCUGUGAGCCUUCUGCCUGGGGAAACCCCGCAAAAGGUCCCAACAGGAGUCUGUGGACCCUUGCCAGCAGGGACGAUAGGAUUACUUUUAGGAAUGUCUAGUUUAAAUUUAAAAGGGGUCCAAAUACAUACAGGAGUCACUGAUUCAGAUUACAAUGGGGAAAUUCAAAUUGUUACAUCUACUUCUGUUCUCUGGAAAGCAGAGCCAGGAGAGCAUAUAGCACAGCUCCUGAUUGUGUCGUAUGUGGGAAUAGGAAAAAGUGAAAUUAAACGAACAGGAGGAUUUGGAAGCACAAAUAAACAAGGCAAAACAGCUUAUUGGGUGAAUCAAAUUACUGAUAAACAUCCUACCUGUGAAGUAACUAUUCAGGGAAAGAAAUUUAAAGGUUUGGUAGAUACAGGAGUGGACAUUUCAAUCGUUUCUCUACAGCACUGGCCGUCCGCGUGGCCAAUUCCACCCACUCAAUUUAACAGAGUUGGAGUUGGUAAAGCCCCUGAAGUAUAUCAAAGUAGUUAUAUUUUGCAUUGUGAAGGGCCUGAUGGACAACCUGAGACUAUUCAACCAAUUAUAACUUCUGUACCUAUAAAUUUAUAAGGGAGAAAUUUAUUACAACAAUGGGGAGCACAAGUUCUAAUUCCAGAACAAUUAUAUAGCCCUCAAAGUCAACAUACAAUGCAUGAAAUGGAGUAUGUCCCUGGUAUGGGACUAGAAAAAAAUUUGCAAAGUUUGAAAAAACUGCUUCAAGCGGAAAGACAAAGUUCCUGCCAAAGAUUAGGAUAUCAUUUUUGAUGGUGGCCAUUGUUAAGCCUCCAGAACCUAUACCUUUAAAAUGGUUAACAGAUAAGCCAAUUUGGAUAGGACAGUGGCCGCUAAGUAAAGAGAAACUGGAGGCUUUAGAGAAAUUAGUUACUGAACAAUUAGAAAAUGAGCACGUAACUCCAACAUUUUCCCCUUGGAAUUCUCCAGUUUUCGUAAUUAAGAAAAAAUGAGGUAAAUGGAGACUGUUAACUGACUUAAGAGCCAUCAAUUCAGUUAUAUAACCUAUGGGAGCAUUACAGCCAGGAUUGCCUUCUCCUGCUAUAAUUCCAAAAAAUUGGCCUUUAAUAGUCAUAGAUUUAAAAGACUGUUUCUUUACUAUCCCUUUAGCUAAGCAAGACUGUCAAUGGUUUGCAUUUACAAUUUCUGCAGUAAACAAACUGCAGCCUGCUAAGUAUUUUCAUUGUUUUACAGAUGGGUCUAGUAAUGGUAAAGCUUCUUAUUCUGGCUUGAAAAGUAAAGUUUUUCAGACGCCCAAUACUUUAGCUCAAAAAGAGCUUGUAGCUGUAAUUGAGGUAUUGACUGCUUUUGAUAUGCCUAUUAAUGGGAUUUCUGAUUCUUCAUAUGUGGUUCAUUCCACACAGUUAAUUAAAAAUGCUCAGUUACUAUUUCAUACAGAUAAACAACUGAUGACAAAAACAAAAAAGGGGGAGAAAUAGGCAUUACGGGACAGCCCAUACACAACUGAAUCUAGCAUUAUUAACUUUAAAUUUUUUGAGCCUGCCCAAAGGCCAGAUGUUAUCAGCAGCUGAACAGCAUCUACAGAAACCAGCUGCAAAGACAGAAGCAGAACAACUGGUUUGGUGGAGAGAUCCAAUAACAAAAAGUUGGGAAAUAGGUAAAAUAAUAACUUGGGGUAGAGGUUAUGCUUGUGUUUCUCCAGGCCAAAAUCAACAGCUGAUUUGGAUACCAUCAAGACACCUGAAACCUUAUCAUGAGCCAGAUUCCGGGAGGAUCCCGAGGACCCCUCAGUUGCAGCCAUGUUGAGACUGAUGGCUGAGGAGGACCCCAACUGUCACAAGCAACACCCGUCUAACACAGCCACCCACCUGGGGACAGAUCAAGAAGCUGUCACAGAUGGCGGAAGAAAACCUGAGGAAAGCGGGACAGCCAGUCACAAUGGGUAAUUUAAUGGUAGCUAUGAUAGCGGUGAUCACCAUUGCCGUAAGUAUUCCUUCAACAAGAGCUGACACAGAGAACAAUUAUUCUUAUUGGGCAUAUUUAUCAAUCUUGGCUGGCAAUAAUGCCUGGAUGUAAUCACUCUAUCACACAGUUACACAUGCUUUCUGAUCUCAGUAUUUACCAUAAUAAAUCUGCUCCUAUAAUUGAGGCAUACCGCCCUCAAAAACCUAUUUGUACACAGGAUUGGACCCAGUUAGACAAAAUGAACAUACUUGUUUAGGAAGAUUGCAUUGCAGAACAGGCAGAGGUGCUGCACAACGAUUCCUAUGGAAUCAUUAUUAAUUGGUCCCCUAAGGGGAUGUUUAGCUUGAAUUGCACCUCUCAGUCUGUGUGCCACUGCUACACUAUGUUUAGAUGAUCUGAACAAAAUGGUCAGAUGGUAGAAAUGAUAAAAAGUACGGCAAGAGUUCCUCUUAUCUGAAACCAUGGCGGUAUAGUGGCACCUCAACCUCAGAUGAUAUGGCCCGUUGUAGGAGCUAAACAUAAGAUAAGGAUUUGUGGCUUAAUAAGAUCAAAAAUUUGGGAAAGAAUAAAAAAGCAUCUAGAAAGACACUCUACAAAUUUGUCUUUAGAUAUUGCAAAAUUAAAAGAACAAAUAUUUAAAGCAUCCCAGGCACACCUGACCUUAAUGCCAGGAACUGGAGUGCUUGAAGGAGCUGCAGACAGAUUAGCAGCUAGUAACCCAUUAAAAUGGAUAAAAACACUUGGAAGCUCUGUGAUUUCAAUGAUGAUUGUGCUUUUAAUUUGUGUUGUUUGUAUAGUCUGCAGAUGCGGAUCCUGACUCCCGCGAGAAGUAGCUCACCAUGACAAAGCUGCCUUGGCUUUUAUUGCUUUGCAAAUCAAAGAAGGGGAACAUGUUGGGAACAGCACCCCCCCCCCCAAAAUCUGGCCAUAAACUGGCCCCAAAACUGGCCAUAAACAAAAUCUCUGCAGCAUUGUGACAUGUUCAUGAUGGCCAUGACACCCACGCUGGAAGGUUGUGGGUUUACUGGAAUGAGGGCAAGGAACACCUGGCCCACCCAGAGCGGAAAACCGCUUAAAGGCAUUCUUAAACCACAAACAAUAGCAUGAGCGAUCUGUGCCUUAAGGACAUGCUCCUGCUGCAGAUAACUAGCCAAACCCAUCCCUUUAUUUCGGCCCAUCCCUUCAUUUCCCAUAAGGGAUACUUUUAGUUAAUCUAAUAUCUAUAGAAACAAUGCUAAUGUCUGGCUUGCUGUUAAUAAAUACGUGGGUAAAUCUCUGUUCGGGGCUCUCAGCUCUGAAGGCUGUGAGACCCCUGAUUUCCCACUUCACACCUCUAUAUUUCUGUGUGUGUGUCUUUAAUUCCUCUAGCGCCACUGGGUUAGGGUUUCGCCAGCCAAGCUGGUCUUGCCAUUUCCUGAGGCCUCCCCAGCCAAGCUGAACUGUGAGUCAGUUAAACCUCUUUCUUUUAUAAAUUACCCAGUCUCUGGCAGUUCUUCAUAGCAGUAUGAAAACGGACUAAUACAGGAUCUCACUCUGUGUCACCCAGGCUGGAGUGCAGUGGUGCUCAGGCAAGCCACAGUCCUUUUGCCUCAGCCUCCCAAAUAGCUGGGACUACAGGUGCGUGCCACCAUGCCCAGCUAGUUUUUUUUUUUUUUUUUUAUCUUUGUAGAGAUGGUUUCUCACUAUAUUGCCCAGGCUGGUCUUGAACCCUUGGCCUCAACAUCUCAGGUGAUCCUCCACCUCAGCCUCCCAAAGCACUCACUGGAAUUACAGGUAUGAGUCACCAUGCCUGACAGACAGACAGACAUAUAUAUAUAUGUGUGUGUGUUUUUUUUGAGACGAGGUCACACUCUGUCACCCAGGUUGGAGUGCAGAGGCACAAUCUCAGGUCACUGCAACCUUUGCCUCCCAGGCUCAAGGGAUCCUCCCACCUCAGCCUCCCUAGUAGCUGGGGCCACUGGCAUGAGCCACCACGCCCAGCCAAUUUUUUGUAUUUUUGGAAGAGACAGAGUUUUGCCAUGUUGCCCAGCCUGGUCACGUACUCCUGAGCGCAGACGAUCCUCCCACCUCAGCCUCCCAAAGUUCUGGGAUUACUGGUGUGAGCCACCGUGCCCG